rnacentral:rRNA from 1 species
UCCGGUCAUUAGAGCGAAAUGGGCCCACCUCUUCCCAUUCCGAACAGAGCCGUGAAACUUUUCAGCGCCGACAAUAGGCUUUCCGCAAGGAAUUCUGAAAAUAGGCCAUGGCCGGAA